rnacentral:lncRNA from 1 species
CUACAUUUUCAUGGAGUUGAUUUCAUUUCUCUCCCAAUUGUUGGGAGCACCAGUCCCACGCGGAAAUCAACAAUUGUUAUAGGGGAGAGAGAGGGGAUAUAAAUAGAACUUGCUGGUAUGUGGUUACUGUAUGCAUGCUAAAUUGAAUAAUGUUGUUCGAACAGGGUCACGUCGGCCCCUUGGACAGACGGGCCACAGGCCCUAUUCGUCUAGCAAAACUCUGCUAAAUUUGUUAAGC